UACGGAGGAUCCGAGCGUUAUCCGGAUUUAUUGGGUUUAAAGGGUGCGCAGGCGGACUGGUAAGUCAGCUGUGAAAGUUUACGGCUCAACCGUGAAAUUGCAGUUGAGACUGUUGAUCUUGAGUAUACAUGAGAUGGGCGGAAUUUGUGGUGUAGCGGUGAAAUGCUUAGAUAUCUCAAGGAACUCCGAUGGCGAAGGCAGCUCACUGGGGUAUAACUGACGCUGAUGCACGAAGGUGUGGGGAUCAAACAGG
rnacentral:rRNA from 1 species